CAACACAAGUGAUCUGAAUGGCUGCAGCACGCAUUGAUCUUUUGACCUCAUUUCCUGUUAACCAGGGCGCAUUUUGUAACUUAGCAUUAGUAACAAAACAAUGCAGCGUUUUUUAAUUCGUACACAUCCAGAGACUUAAUCAAAAGAAAAAAAAGAGUAAUGGUGAAGCUGCGUGGGGCUUCAGGUGGUGUUAAUAUGUCUUGUUAAGGCGCUGGUCUUGCUUUAUUCACUGACUUGCACCAGGAAGGGCUUGAACAUGGAGAUGAGAAAGGGAACAAGAGGCUCAAAAAGAGCUUGCUAAGUAAACAUGCUUGAAAAAGUAAAAGUCCCUCACAAAGGCUCCCUCCAGUUUGGAAAUACCAGGAGACUCAUUGCGGACCUGCUGAUUAAGUGCAUAUUAUAACAACAUCUUAUCAAGCCCACAAUGCAUUCAUGGAGGCCGGCGAUUUUCCCGGGAUUAAUGCCAGUCGGGUACUUUCCCUCUGGAUGUGCUGUCAUCUUGGGGGUCUGAAUGACUGCCACCCGCUCUCGUAAUCACUUCAUGAGCUCAUUCCCCUCUGACUGUCACCACCAUUCUGCUGAUGGAGGCAUCUUUCACACAGACGCAGCACGGCGCGCGGGGGGAGGAUGCUAAAUGAAGGGCAUUAGGCUGCAGACGCUGGUCAUCCUAACCCUGCUGGACCUCGUGAUCAUAUCUCUGUCCACACACAGAGCAGCUGACAAGCAGCAGCCUUGGAAGUUGAUCAGACUCCAGUGGCUGAGGCUCACGUGGAACAACAGAGCAGCUCAAAACAAAGAGGCAGUCCUGAUUACCUGUACUGGCUCCUUCAAUCAAGCAGCGGGGAGAGGCAGGACGGCCAGCCGGGGAGGGAGCGCAGGAGGCCGGCCACAUCCAGUGGGCUGCAUCGAGGAGACGGACCAUUAGCCAGAGGAAAGCCAUGGCUCACAGCCCUGGUCGAUCAGGUAAGCGCCGCGUGCGUUUUUCUUUUCCGCUGUAGUCGCCCCGUGCCAAACAGUGUCAGUGUUUAUUUGCUGGCUUUAGAGGUGAGCCGCCUUCAGCUGGGCUAGCAGCGUACAGUGGGCUUACUUUAAGCGCUGUAUGAGCGCCGCUGCAGCCACCUCCAUACAGCUGUCACGAGCAGCACGCGCACAAGUGCUCUCUGCAUGCUUUAUAUAAAGCACUGUACAUUUAGACCACUGUACAUCCAGCUAUAACAGCUGUAUUCUUCUAUAUUACAUUAGCACUGGACAGUCGUAAUAUGGGCCUAAAUGUGCAAAUAUUGCUAUA
rnacentral:lncRNA from 1 species